rnacentral:rRNA from 1 species
CCUACGGGAGGCAGCAGUAAGGAAUAUUGGUCAAUGGACGAAAGUCUGAACCAGCCAUGCCGCGUGAAGGAUUAAGGCCCUCUGGGUUGUAAACUUCUUUUAUCUGGGACGAAAAAAGGGUAUUCUUACUCACUUGACGGUACCAGAGGAAUAAGCACCGGCUAACUCCGUGCCAGCAGCCGCGGUAAUACGGAGGGUGCAAGCGUUAUCCGGAUUUACUGGGUUUAAAGGGUGCGUAGGUGGGCUUGUAAGUCAGUGGUGAAAUCUCCGGGCUUAACCCGGAAACUGCCAUUGAUACUAUAGGUCUUGAAUUAUCUGGAGGUAAGCGGAAUAUGUCAUGUAGCGGUGAAAUGCUUAGAUAUGACAUAGAACACCAAUUGCGAAGGCAGCUUACUACGGAUACAUUGACACUGAGGCACGAAAGCGUGGGGAUCAAACAGGAUUAGAUACCCUGGUAGUCCACGCCCUAAACGAUGGAUACUCGACAUCAGCGAUACACUGUUGGUGUCUGAGNGAAGANAUAGUAUCCACCGNGAGAGAGNGCGAAGAGUAGUUAAGUUACGUAAGAAGUUAGUAGCGNGAGAGNGCGACGGACGACGACGAGGAGGAGG